GGCCAAGUUUUUAAGGGCGCACGGUGGAUGCCUUGGCACCAGGAACCGAUGAAGGACGUGGGAGGCCGCGAUAGUCCCCGGGGAGUCGUCAACCAGGCUUUGAUCCGGGGGUUUCCGAAUGGGGAAACCCGGCAGUCGUCAUGGGCUGUCACCCGCUGCUGAACACAUAGGCAGUGUGGAGGGAACGCGGGGAAGUGAAACAUCUCAGUACCCGCAGGAAGAGAAAACAACCGUGAUUCCGGGAGUAGUGGCGAGCGAAACCGGAUGAGGCCAAACCUACGACGUGUGAGACCCGGCAGGGGUUGCGUCGUGGGGGUUGUGGGAUCUCUCUUCCACGGUCUGCCGGCCGUGGGACGAGUCAGAAACCGUUGAUGUAGGCGAAGGACAUGCGAAAGGUCCGGCGUAGAGGGUAAGACCCCCGUAGUCGAAACGUCAGCGGCUCGUUUGAGAGACACCCAAGUAGCACGGGGCCCGAGAAAUCCCGUGUGAAUCUGGCGGGACCACCCGCUAAGCCUAAAUAUUCCCUGGUGACCGAUAGCGGAUAGUACCGUGAGGGAAUGGUGAAAAGUACCGCGGGAGCGGAGUGAAAUAGUACCUGAAACCGUGUGCCUACAAGCCGUGGGAGCGUCGGA
rnacentral:rRNA from 1 species